rnacentral:rRNA from 1 species
UAGGGAAUCUUCGGCAAUGGGGGCAACCCUGACCGAGCAACGCCGCGUGAGUGAAGAAGGUUUUCGGAUCGUAAAGCUCUGUUGUAAGAGAAGAACGAGUGUGAGAGUGGAAAGUUCACACUGUGACGGUAACUUACCAGAAAGGGACGGCUAACUACGUGCCAGCAGCCGCGGUAAUACGUAGGUCCCGAGCGUUAUCCGGAUUUAUUGGGCGUAAAGCGAGCGCAGGCGGUUAGAUAAGUCUGAAGUUAAAGGCUGUGGCUUAACCAUAGUACGCUUUGGAAACUGUUUAACUUGAGUGCAGAAGGGGAGAGUGGAAUUCCAUGUGUAGCGGUGAAAUGCGUAGAUAUAUGGAGGAACACCGGUGGCGAAAGCGGCUCUCUGGUCUGUAACUGACGCUGAGGCUCGAAAGCGUGGGGAGCGAACAGGAUUAGAUACCCUGGUAGUCCACGCCGUAAACGAUGAGUGCUAGGUGUUGGAUCCUUUCCGGGAUUCAGUGCCGCAGCUAACGCAUUAAGCACUCCGCCUGGGGAGUACGACCGCAAGGUUG